UACAGAGGUCCCAAGCGUUGUUCGGAUUCAUUGGGCGUAAAGGGUGCGUAGGCGGCGCGGUAAGUCGGGUGUGAAAUCUCGGGGCUUAACUCCGAAACUGCAUUCGAUACUGGCGUGCUUGAGGACUGGAGAGGAGACUGGAAUUUACGGUGUAGCGGUGAAAUGCGUAGAUAUCGUAAGGAAGACCAGUGGCGAAGGCGGGUCUCUGGACAGUACCUGACGCUGAGGCACGAAGGCCAGGGGAGCAAACGGG
rnacentral:rRNA from 1 species